CAUAAAAUCAACAAUUAUUAUUUUUUUAUUUAAUUACUUUAUGACCACUGAUGACUGUGUGUUGCAUGUAAACUAAGGGGGUGUUUUUUCAUGCAUUACAUAAAGGAGACUUGGGUUAUCAAAAACAGAAAAUAUUGACCAUGUUGAGGCAGUGAGCUGUUUGGUCAACAAGGGCACGUCAUGUAUCAAAAUGCAGAUAUGCAUUCCAGGAUGGUGACUGAAGCUCAUCUUUGUAAACACCUAAAUGCCUAGAAUGAACUUCAAAACAGAUUCUGAAAGUUUAACCAGUAUUAAUCUUAAAUAUGGACAAAAAGUAUACACUUGGAACACACACAAAAACAGAUGGGUCCAUGCCAAGCUAAAGAUAAAUGCAGAAGAUAAAAGAGAACUGGAGAAGAAUGAAUUGAUGUUAACAUACUCAACAUUAAAUAUGGCUUAAAUCUUAA